rnacentral:rRNA from 1 species
AUGUACGAGUUUGAUCCUGGCUCAGGACGAACGCUGGCGGCGUGCCUAAUACAUGCAAGUCGAGCGAGGGUCUUCGGACCCUAGCGGCGGACGGGUGAGUAACACGUAGGCAACCUGCCCGUAAGACCGGGAUAACAUAGGGAAACUUAUGCUAAUACCGGAUAGGGCGUUCUCUCGCAUGAGAGAAUGCGGAAAGGUGGCGCAAGCUACCACUUACGGAUGGGCCUGCGGCGCAUUAGCUUGUUGGCGGGGUAACGGCCCACCAAGGCGACGAUCAGUAGGGGUUCUGAGAGGAAGGUCCCCCACAUUGGAACUGAGACACGGUCCAAACUCCUACGGGAGGCAGCAGUGAGGAAUAUUGGUCAAUGGACGAGAGUCUGAACCAGCCAAGUAGCGUGCAGGAAGACGGCCCUAUGGGUUGUAAACUGCUUUUAUAAGGGAAUAAAGUGAGUCUCGUGAGACUUUUUGCAUGUACCUUAUGAAUAAGGACCGGCUAAUUCCGUG